rfam:Geobacillus thermodenitrificans NG80-2, complete genome.
AGAAAGGUUUUCUAGGGUUCCGCGGCUGCUUUGUGGCCGGCCUGUGACCGAGAGAAAACGCGCGGCAUUCUCGCGUACACGGAGGGACAAAAGCCCGGGAGGA